rnacentral:misc_RNA from 1 species
GAAAUGCGAUAACUAGUGUGAAUUGCAGAAUUCCGUGAAUCAUCGAGUCUUUGAACGCACAUUGCGCCCCCUGGUAUUCCGGGGGGCAUGCCUGUCCGAGCGUCAUUGCUGCCCAUCAAGCACGGCUUGUGUGUUGGGUCGUCGUCCCCUCUCCGGGGGGGACGAGCCCCAAAGGCAGCGGCGGCACCGCGUCCGAUCCUCGAGCGUAUGGGGCUUUGUCACCCGCUCUGUAGGCCCGGCCGGCGCUUGCCGAACGCAAAUCAAUCUUUUUCCAGGUUGACCUCGGAUCAGGUAGGGAUACCCGCUGAACUUAAGC